AGCGGUGUGGUGUAAUGGUAGUGAGUCAGGCUCGUAACCAAAAGGUUGCUGGUUUGAUUCCUGCUGGGGCAC